rnacentral:rRNA from 1 species
GAGUUUGAUCGUGGCUCAGGACGAACGCUGGCGGCGUGCUUAACACAUGCAAGUCGAACGAUGAAGCCCUUCGGGGUGGAUUAGUGGCGAACGGGUGAGUAACACGUGGGCAAUCUGCCCUUCACUCUGGGACAAGCCCUGGAAACGGGGUCUAAUACCGGAUAUGAGCCUCUAUCGCAUGGUGGAGGCUGUAAAGCUCCGGCGGUGAAGGAUGAGCCCGCGGCCUAUCAGCUUGUUGGUGAGGUAAUGGCUCACCAAGGCGACGACGGGUAGCCGGCCUGAGAGGGCGACCGGCCACACUGGGACUGAGACACGGCCCAGACUCCUACGGGAGGCAGCAGUGGGGAAUAUUGCACAAUGGGCGAAAGCCUGAUGCAGCGACGCCGCGUGAGGGAUGACGGCCUCGGUUGUAA